rnacentral:lncRNA from 1 species
AAACCUGAUGCGGAGCAGGAGAACCAGCUGGCCACGGAGAUGCCUGCAGUGUCACAGGCUGCCCGGACCACUGCUUGCCCGUGGCCAAUGAGCCUACCUCCCCGAAGAAGGCGAAGAGCAUCCCCGACCAACGUGACUUGGAGAGCUGGUUCUCACCCCCUUCCCCCGAGUGGGCCACCGUGAGGGUCAUUCCUGAGGAAGAGAUGACCGAGCACAACCUCCUCGCAGUCCGAGUCAUGGUCACCAGUGAUGCAAGCAGGGCAGUGCUGUGCAAACACGAAGCAGUUUUCUCCUGGUGUGCAAACAGGACUACUCACAGAGUUAAGCACCUC